rnacentral:rRNA from 1 species
UUCGAUUAUGGCUCAGAUUGAACGCUGGCGGGAGCUUACACAUGCAAGCGAACGGCAGCACGGACUUCGGUCUGUGUGGCGAGUGGCGAACGGGUGAGUAAUGUAUCGGAACGUACCUAGUAGCGGGGAUAACUGAAAGUGAAAGCAUAGCUAAUACCGCAUACGGCCCUUCGGGGGAAAGCGGGGACCUUCGGGCCUCGCACUAUUAGAGCGGCCGAUAUCGGAUUACGAAUGGAAAGUAACGGCUCACCAUGACGAUCCGUAGCAGCUGGUUUGAGAGGACGACCAGCCACUGGGACUGAGACACGGCCCAGACUCCUACGGGAGGCAGCAGUGGGGAAUUUUGGACAAUGGGGAAACCCCGAUCCAGCCAUCCUGGGCGUGUGAUGAAGGCCUUCGGGGUUGUAAAAGCACUUUUGGCAGGAAAGAACGGCACGGGAUAAUACCCCGUGCAACUGACGGUACCGUGGUAAUGGUUACCCGCUAACUACGCCAGCAGCCGCGGUAAUACGUAGGGUGCAAGCGUUAAUCGGAAUUACUGGGCGCAGCGCGCAGGCGGUUCGAAGAAAGAUGCAAAUCCCAGAGCUUAACUUUGGAACGCAUUUUUAACUACCGAGCUAGAGUGUGUCAGAUGGGAGAAUUCGCGUAGCAGUGAAAUGCGUAGAUAUGCGAGGAACACCGACAGUGAAGCGCAGCCUCCUGGGAUAACACUGACGCUCAUGCACGAAAGCGUGGGAGCAAACAGAUUAGAUACCCCGUAGUCCACGCGCCUCAAACGAUGUCAACUAGCUGUUGGGGCCUUCGGGCCUUGGUAGCGCAGCUAACAGCGUGAAGUUGACCGCCUGGGGAGUACGGUCGCAAGAUUAAAACUCAAAGGAAUUGACGGGGACCCGCACAAAGCGGUGGAUGAUGUGGAUUAAUCUGAUGCAACGCGAAAACCUUACCUACCCUUGACAUGUCUGGAAUCCCGAAGAGAUUUGGGAGUGCUCGCAAGAGAACCGAACACAGGUGCUGCAUGGUUGUCGUCAGCUCGUGUCGUGAGAUGCUGGGUUAAGUCCCGCAACAGCGCAACCCUUGUCAUUAGUUGCUACGAAAGCGGGCACUUCAUCGAGACUGCCGGUGACAAACCGCGGAAGGUGGGGAUGACGCCGUCCUCAUGUACUCUUGCGGGUAGGGCUUCACACGUCAUACAAUGGUCGGGACAGAGGGUCGCCAACCCGAGGAGCCGCAAUCCCAGAAACCCGAUCGUAGUCCGAUCGCAGUUCGCAACUCGACUGCGUGAAGUCGGAACUGCUAGUAAUCGCGGAUCAUUGUCGCGGUGAAUACGUUCCUGGUCUUGUACACACCGCCCGUCACACCAUGUGAGUGUUUACCAGAAGUAGUUAGCCUAACCGUAAGGAGGGCGAUUACCACGUAGGAUUCAAGACUGGGGUGAAGUCGUACCGCAAAU